rnacentral:lncRNA from 1 species
UAUAGGGGUUUGAUGAAGAGACCGUUGGAUGAAGGGAUCUUGGAAAUGAUGGAUGAUUAAUGUCAUUAAUCUUUGUGUUCUUUCCAUAGAAGUUUGGGCGCUUUAACUUUCUUCCAAAGUUAGAUUCUUGCCAUAAGUGGAAGACUUCAUAGCUAAGUCUUUAUUGAUAGUUUCUGAAUCAGAGUGUUUAGAAAUCAGAGUUUUUGUUCAGCAUGUGCAUCUUCAGAUAGUUGUAGACAACUGAUUGACUUCAGAGGUUAGAACUUCUACUUGAGCGUCUG